rnacentral:lncRNA from 1 species
CCCCCCCCCCCCCCCCCCCCCCCCCCCCCCCCCCCCCCCCCCCCCCCCCCCCCCCCCCCCCCCCCCCCCCCCCCCCCCCCCCCCCCCCCCCCCCCCCCCCCCCCCCCCCCCCCCCCCCCGCGCCCGGAACCGCCGCGUGAGGGCGGCGCGAGCGCGGGGCUCCCGCUGCGCCUCACCGACACCGGCACCGGCAUUGACACCGGCACCGACACCGACACCGGCACCGACACUGACACCGACACCGACAUCGACACCGACACCGGCACCGGCAUUGACACCGAUACCGACACCGGCACCGACACUGACACCGACACCGAUACCGAUACAGGCACCGACACCGGCACUGACACCGGCACUGACAUUGACACCGGCAUUGACACCGGCACCGGCAUUGACACUGGCACUGACACCGGCACCGACACCUACAUUGACACCGACACCGGCACCGAUACCGACACCGGCACCGACACCGGCAUUGACACCGACACUGGCACCGACACCGACACAGGCACUGGCACCGGCACCCCCCCCCCCCCCCCCCCCCCCCCCCCCCCCCCCCCCCCCCCCCCCCCCCCCCCCCCCCCCCCCCCCCCCCCCCCCCCCCCCCCCCCCCCCCCCCCCCCCCCCCCCCCCCCCCCCCCCCCCCCCCCCCCCCCCCCCCCCCCCCCCCCCCCCCCCCCCCCCCCCCCCCCCCCCCCCCCCCCCCCCCCCCCCCCCCCCCCCCCCCCCCCCCCCCCCCCCCCCCCCCCCCCGGCACCGGCACCGGCACCGGCCCAGCGAGCCUGGCCGCGCGGAGGCCUCCCCUCGGUCCCCGCCGGGAUGAACAGACCGAGUGACCUCUCACGGCCUCCCCCCGGGGCCCUUCGCCAGCCUCACCGCCCUCCUGCGCACGCUGCAGUGGCUCCUUGCCUGCCUUGCCUUGUGGCACCCAAAGCGCCCCCGGCGCGGGAGGUGAGGCUGCCCCAGCUCAGAGCAGAGCAGGACAAUCCCCUCCCUUGCCCGGCUGUGAUGCUGCGCCUGGUGCACCCCAGGACAGGGAUGGCCCUCCUGGCUGCCGGGGCACUGCUCAGAUCCAGCUCACAGAACAGGGAGCAGGGUUUCAUCCUUCAGAGCAGGACUGGCGGGGAUCUCUGA